rnacentral:rRNA from 1 species
UGGGGAAUCUUGCGCAAUGGGCGAAAGCCUGACGCAGCCAUGCCGCGUGUAUGAUGAAGGUCUUAGGAUUGUAAAAUACUUUCACCGGUGAAGAUAAUGACUGUAGCCGGAGAAGAAGCCCCGGCUAACUUCGUGCCAGCAGCCGCGGUAAUACGAAGGGGGCUAGCGUUGCUCGGAAUUACUGGGCGUAAAGGGAGCGUAGGCGGACAUUUAAGUCAGAGGUGAAAUCCCGGAGCUUAACUUCGGAACUGCCUUUGAUACUGGGUGUCUUGAGUGUGAGAGAGGUAUGUGGAACUCCGAGUGUAGAGGUGAAAUUCGUAGAUAUUCGGAAGAACACCAGUGGCGAAGGCGACAUACUGGCUCAUUACUGACGCUGAGGCGCGAAAGCGUGGGGAGCAAACAGGAUUAGAUACCCCUGUAGUCCCUGAGCGGGCUGGCAAGGCGCAU